rnacentral:rRNA from 1 species
UAGGGAAUAUUGGGCAAUGGUCGGAAGACUGACCCAGCCAUGCCGCGUGCAGGAAGAAGGUUCUCAGAACUGUAAACUGCUUUAGAAGGGGAAGAAAAAGCACCUGCGGGUGAAAUUGACGGUACCCUUAGAAUAAGCACCGGCUAACUCCGUGCCAGCAGCCGCGGUAAUACGGGGGGUGCAAGCGUUGUCCGGAUUUAUUGGGUUUAAAGGGUGCGUAGGCGGUUUUCUAAGUCAGUGUUAAAAUACAGCAGCUUAACUGUUGAACUGGCACUGAUACUGGAGAACUUGAGUGUGGUUGAGGUUGGCGGAAUUUAUGGUGUAGCGGUGAAAUGCAUAGAUACCAUAAAGAACACCGAUAGCGAAGGCAGCUAACCAAGUCAUAACUGACGCUGAGGCA